UGGGGAAUUUUGGACAAUGGGGGAAACCCUGAUCCAGCCAUCCCGCGUGUGCGAUGAAGGCCUUCGGGUUGUAAAGCACUUUUGGCAGGAAAGAAACGUCGCGGGUUAAUACCCCGCGAAACUGACGGUACCUGCAGAAUAAGCACCGGCUAACUACGUGCCAGCAGCCGCGGUAAUACGUAGGGUGCAAGCGUUAAUCGGAAUUACUGGGCGUAAAGCGUGCGCAGGCGGUUCGGAAAGAAAGAUGUGAAAUCCCAGAGCUUAACUUUGGAACUGCAUUUUUAACUACCGGGCUAGAGUGUGUCAGAGGGAGGUGGAAUUCCGCGUGUAGCAGUGAAAUGCGUAGAUAUGCGGAGGAACACCGAUGGCGAAGGCAGCCUCCUGGGAUAACACUGACGCUCAUGCACGAAAGCGUGGGGAGCAAACAGGAUUAGAUACCCUGGUAGUCCACGCCCUAAACGAUGUCAACUAGCUGUUGGGGGCCUUCGGGCCUUGGUAGCGCAGCUAACGCGUGAAGUUGACCGCCUGGGGAGUACGGUCGCAAGAUUAAAACUCAAAGGAA
rnacentral:rRNA from 1 species